GCUCGUAGUUGGAUCUCGGCGGACAGAAGUCGGUCCGAAUGCUUUCGGUACUGGCUUGUUUGUCCGUGUGUUUUGCCAGAGGCAGGCGGGUGCUCUUCGCCGAGUGUCCGUCUGUGCUGGCAGGUUUACUUUGAAAAAAUUAGAGUGCUCAAAGCAAGCUCUCACGCUUGAAUAUUCGUGCAUGGAAUAAUAGAAUAGGAUGUCGUUUCUAUUUUGUUGGUUUUCGGAAAUCGACAUAAUGAUUAAUAGGGACAGUCGGGGGCAUUUGUAUUCAAACGACAGAGGUGAAAUUCUUGGACCGUUUGAAGACAAACUACUGCGAAAGCAUUUGCCAAGAAUGUUUUCAUUAAUCAAGAACGAAAGUUAGAGGUUCGAAGGCGAUUAGAUACCGCCCUAGUUCUAACCAUAAACGAUGCCAGCUAGCGAUCUGCAGGCGUUUUACUUUACGACCUUGCAGGGAGCUUCCGGGAAACCAAAGCUUGUGGGUUCCAGGGGAAGUAUGGUUGCAAAGCUGAAACUUAAAGGAAUUGACGGAAGGGCACCACCAGGAGUGGAGCCUGUGGCUUAAUUUGACUCAACACGGGAAAUCUCACCAGGCCCGGACACGAGAAGGAUUGACAGAUUGAUAGCUCUUUCUUGAUUUCGUGGGUGGUGGUGCAUGGCCGUUCUUAGUUGGUGGAGUGAUUUGUCUGGUUAAUUCCGAUAACGAACGAGACUCUGUCCUGCUAACUAGUGUCUGCUUCUUUUCUGAGCAGAUUAUUCUUCUUAGAGGGACUGGUAGCUCUUAGCUACACGAGAUUGAGCAAUAACAGGUCUGUGAUGCCUCUUAGAU
rnacentral:rRNA from 1 species